rnacentral:lncRNA from 1 species
GGGUGGUGGUUUGUGGGCCAAGGAUGAUGAAAUCUUCACCUUAUAUUGAUUAAGAUUUUUGCCCUUAAGAUGAUUUAUGCAGAUGCAAUGCAAACAAAGCAGGAUAUCCAAGCACAAGUGGAAAGUUUUUAAAUUUUAAUUUAUUUUUCUGUAUUAGUUAAGUAUUAUAAGAUAUAUAUUUUGUUUCCUUUUAUGUUAGGUUAUUUAAAG